AGGAAGUCAUUGGUACUUUUCUUAGUUUGUCAGCUAUUUUACUCUACUUCAGGGGUAACAGGUGUCCAAAUGACCAUUUCUGCAUGCGCAGUUCGGAUAACUGCAUGGAUAAAGGGUUCUGCUACAGUCUUCACCGCCAGCUGCUCCUCUCUGCCAGCCACCCUGCUGACCACUCACCAAUGUCUUCAGCCGUCCACCUGCCCCCCCACAGCUCUCAG